GAUCACUGCAGUAUGCAACUUCUUCACCUAUGUGCGUUACAUCCAGCAAGGCCUGGUUCGGCAAGAUGCUGAGCCGAUGUUCUGGGAGAUCAUGAGGCUGCGGAAGGGGAUGUCACUAGCCAAGCUUGGCUUCUUCCCCCAGGAGGCCUAGGGCAUGGCCCCAGGCCUGAAGUAAGCUCUGAGCUAGAGAAAACAGCUGCCUUGGGACAGACGAACAAGAAAUCCUGGACCCAGCUCUGAGCCAUAAGCUGAAAGGACAGAUAAACAGCCAGACUGUAGAGACAGUUCUGAGCCAGUACCACCCAUCCCUCUUGGGACAGACAAAAGGACAGCCUGGCCUGGACUUCAUGAGAUGACCCCUCUUGCCCACUAAGCUCUGUAGCCAACAAGAGAAUCUCAAGAAAGCACCGAAGACCAAGGCACUUGGAACAAGGAGCCCAGCCCCAGGAGAGGACUCUUGAGUAGCCAGUACCCCCACCACAACCCCUGCUGCUUACCAAUGCUCUCUUGCUGCCACAUCUUCAGAAAGGGACUGUUCUAGGGUGGCUGGAUCUCCAGGGUGUGCUCUACCACAGCCUCUAAGCCCUGGGACACCAGCACCCCCUUGUGGCCAUUUUCUCACUGUUCCCAAGUGGCCUCAUUAGAAUGCCCAAGUGGUCAGGCAAGUGUCUCCAUUCUGAACAAGGUGGAGGAUAACUGCCCCAGAAUGCUCUGAAGGUGAGUCCAGGACCCCUCCUCCAUUCUUCUGCAUAGAGGCCUCCCUCUCCCCUUCCUCUCCACUUCAACACCAUCUUCAGGAAGCCCUGUUCCUAAAAUUGCCAGGAAUCUGGGUCCUUUCUUCUCAGAGUAUGCCACCAGAGGAACCUGAGGAUGUAGACCUGGGCAGCCAUCCAGGCUGUAGGGGCCCUGUGUUUGGGACUGGAUGGAGAGGGCGGGCCAAGCAGGACACGGACCCUACCUUAUCCAUCCCAGCCCACUGGGAAGUGGGCUCGGGGGAUCCAACCUGGACAUACCCCUCACCACGCCCUCUUUCCUUCAAAUGGAAUGUAACACGAUCUCUAUUUAAUAAAGGAAGGCUUUGUUGGUAGGGGCUAGGCGGCAGUGGCCUUCACUCCUGUGCCCUGGGGCUCUGGCCAGGGCUUGGGCAUCUGAAGGAAUGAAAUCAAAUCCUUUCC